rnacentral:lncRNA from 1 species
UUUCACCUUGAUCAAGUAAGAUUUUUCAUCCUCUUAAAAGAUACUUAAGAUAUUCUGAUAAAGGAAGUAGAGGAAAUAUUCCUCAUAAAAAAUAAAAAGCAUGAAGAUGAUCUCAAAACAUAUAAUGAAGUGAUGUUAGACAUCAAUUCUGAAAAAUAAAUGAAAGUAAUAAAGUCAUAGGUUGACUUGAUGCAUUCCAUCCAUGUUUGACCUUAGUA